rnacentral:rRNA from 1 species
UGGUUGAUCCUGCCAGUUGUCAUAUGCUUGUCUCAAAGAUUAAGCCAUGCAUGUAAUGUUCACGGGUUAUCACCCCCGGAAACUGCGAGUGGCUCAUUAAAUCAGUUCGAAUUCCCCCGGGGGGAACACACAGGAUAACUGUGGCAAUUCUAGAGCUAACACUAACACACAAAGCCGGGUCUGUCUGGAACGAGUACCGACAGCCCGCAGGCCCGGCCAACGUCCUGCCCCAUCAACUGCGGACGGUAGGGUAGCGGCCUACCAUGGUGGCGACGGGUGACGGCGAAUGAGGGUUCUGUUCCGGAGAGGGAGCCUUGCAUAUGGCUACCACAUCCAAGGAAGGCAGCAGGCGCGCAAAUUACGCCCUCAAAUUUGUAUUUGGAGGUAGUGACGAUAAAUGGCAUUGCAAGUAAGGGGAUUCCCUCUUCUUGCAAGUAGCAACGCCUUGUGUGUAAUGAGCACUUGAGCGGAGUAGUUAUUGGAGGGCAAGUCUGGU